rnacentral:rRNA from 1 species
AAAUCUGGCACCUUCGGUGUCCGAGUUGUAAUUUGAAGAAGGUAACUUUGGAGUCAGCUCUUGUCUAUGUUCCUUGGAACAGGACGUCACAGAGGGUGAGAAUCCCGUGCGAUGAGAUGUCUGAUUCUAUGUAAAGUGCUUUCGAAGAGUCGAGUUGUUUGGGAAUGCAGCUCUAAGUGGGUGGUAAAUUCCAUCUAAAGCUAAAUAUUGGCGAGAGACCGAUAGCGAACAAGUACAGUGAUGGAAAGAUGAAAAGAACUUUGAAAAGAGAGUGAAAAAGUACGUGAAAUUGUUGAAAGGGAAGGGUUUGAGAUCAGACUUGGUAUUUUGUAUGUCUUGCUUUCGGGUGGGGCCUCUACAGUUUACUGGGCCAGCAUCGGUUUGGACGGUAGGAUAAUGACAUUGGAAUGUGGCACCACUUCGG